rnacentral:rRNA from 1 species
UAGGGAAUCUUCGGCAAUGGACGGAAGUCUGACCGAGCAACGCCGCGUGAGUGAAGAAGGUUUUCGGAUCGUAAAGCUCUGUUGUAAGAGAAGAACGAGUGUGAGAGUGGAAAGUUCACACUGUGACGGUAUCUUACCAGAAAGGGACGGCUAACUACGUGCCAGCAGCCGCGGUAAUACGUAGGUCCCGAGCGUUGUCCGGAUUUAUUGGGCGUAAAGCGAGCGCAGGCGGUUAGAUAAGUCUGAAGUUAAAGGCUGUGGCUUAACCAUAGUAGGCUUUGGAAACUGUUUAACUUGAGUGCAAGAGGGGAGAGUGGAAUUCCAUGUGUAGCGGUGAAAUGCGUAGAUAUAUGGAGGAACACCGGUGGCGAAAGCGGCUCUCUGGCUUGUAACUGACGCUGAGGCUCGAAAGCGUGGGGAGCAAACAGGAUUAGAUACCCUGGUAGUCCACGCUGUAAACGAUGAGUGCUAGGUGUUAGACCCUUUCCGGGGUUUAGUGCCGUAGCUAACGCAUUAAGCACCCCGCCUGGGGAGUACGACCGCAAGGUUG